AUCCUCCAAGGAGAAAGGCUAUCUGGGAAGUGAUCUCUACGACAUUCUAAGUUUCCAAGUCAAGAAAGGAUAAGGUGGCAGCUGAGCCCAGUGAAUCCAGCUGUGACUUACAUCUGUAAGGUGCUUCUGUAUCUAAGCCCAGAGCCCCUUCCCACGUGAAGAACAAAGGACAACAAAUCACUAUGUGGCUGCCUAACUAGGUCAUGAUGGGAAGACAUGGGCCAGAUGCAGGGCACUUCCUGCAUUCCAGUUAGAGACAGGAAGUUGUCAUGUAGAUGGAGGAAGAAAGAGGGAGAAAGAAAGGAUCUGAGAGAUGAUGCUCUCAACACCUACUGCUAAGGACUCAUUGCCCUAAAAUCAAAACUCGGUACCAUCGACAACAAAGCCUGACAGCCCACAUCUGAGAUCUCACACCCAACCUUCUUCAGCUCCAGUAGACACC
rnacentral:lncRNA from 1 species